AGGGAGAAGGGGAAAGGCAAAGGGAUGUCACCUGCUUCUCUCCCUUUGAGAAAGCUUUCCCAAAAGUCCCACCUGCAACUUCUGCUUAUAUGAUACACCAAGAAGGUGGCCAUCUACCAGCCAGGAAGAGAUCCCUCACCAGAGUCCUGCCAUGCUGGGGCACCCUGACCUUAGGCUUCCAGCCUCCAUAAUGACUUACCAGAGACUGGGCAAUUCACAAAAGAAAGAGGUUUCAUUAGAAUUACAGUUUCAUGUGGCUGGGGAUGCCUCACAAUCAUGGCAGAAAGCAAGGAGGAGCAAGUCACAUCUUACGUGGAUGGCGGCAAGCAAAGAAAGGAGCGCUUGUGCAGGGGUCCUCUACUGUAACACAGAUCUCCUGGAUGUGCAAGUGACAUUCUCCAUCUUCUUUUCACCUGGUGUGUGAAUAAUGGGGUGUGAAGAAAGAAAGCAAAAUAUUCUCCUGGUAAGAAAAAUCCACAUCGUGACACGGAAGAGAUGGAGGAAGAAGAGAAAACAAAAGGUCAGAGAUGUAGCCCUACAUAGCUGAUUUUAAAAGGAACUUAAAAUUUUACUUUGGCUAAAAUUGACCUCUCCUGUAAUUUAAUCCAAACCUCUAUUGCUUGUGUGUGGCCAAGUUCAGUAGUCUUUGGAGUCUCACUUCUCUAAUUAUCCAAAUGCAUUUGUUGAAGCCCCAUCCCCUGCCUCCUCCAAAUCCCUUAAUAGGUUUGAUUCUGCUCACUGCUCAUUGCUAUUUUCAUGGUGCCGCUGAAUUCCGCUCUCCUUCUCUGUUUCUAGCCUUUUCAACAUUGCUUUCUCCUCUCAUCCCUGGCAUGAAACACAGAUGCUGGUUAUUCAAUCUCUAAAGCACUGUUCUUUUAAGAAUAAACUUUUACUGAAGAAUGGGGGAUAAAAGAUGGAGCGUAAGCUCAGAACAGCACAGGGAGAAAAUGUACAAGUAAAACUAAGUUAUUUAGUUUAGAGCUUCUUGGUCAGACCCUCCUUAGUCCUGCUUGCCAAUUUGUGCUAGAUUAUUUUUUUCCUGGUGACUGUUUCCCGCACCUCUCCUCCCCAUUCAGGGACCCCAAAGCAUGUUCUUCAGUGACCAGGAAAAUAUUUUAUAUUCUUAAUACUUCAUUAUGGAGAAAAAUUUAUUUCAUUUUGUAUAACCACUGUGUGUUAGUUUCCCAUGGCUUCCUUAACAACUUACUACAAACUGGGUGGCUUAAAGCAACAGAAAUUUAUUUUUCUCAGUUUUGGAGGCCAGAAAUCUGAAAUCAAGGUGUCAGGAAGACCAUGCUCUUUUCAGAGGCUCUAGAGAAGAUUCAUUUUUCUGCCUCCCUCCAGCUUCUUGUGGCUCCAGGCGUUCUUUGAUUCUCCUUGGCUUGUGGCUGCAUCACUGAUUUCCGCUUCCGUGUUCAUGUGGCUCUUCUUCCGCGUGUCUUCUCCUUUCUCUUACAAGGACACUUCGUUGCAUUCAGGGCCCACUCAGGUAAUUCAGGAUGAUCUCAUGCCAAGACCCCUAAUCUAAUUACAUCUACAAAGAUCCCUUAUCCAAGUAAGGUCACCUUCACGGGUUCUGGGAAUUAGGAUUUAGGCAUAUCUUUUGGGGAGCCAUCAUUCAAUGCACGACAUAAUCUAAACAGACUCCAGUUUUCUCAGCUUUAACAGAGACAAUCAAUCAAAUAAGUUUUUGAUUUAAUUUAAAAAUAAAAACAGUAUUUCUGUCUCUCAGAAUAAUUCUGCAGCCCAGUUCUUAGAGCAAAUUACAGUUAGAUUUAAAAGAAUGCUUUUCUUCUCAUUUUAAAGAUUUCUCUUUAAAAAUUGUUAAAAUGACCUAACAUUUUAAAAGACGGAAAAGUAAUUGUAAUAUCAAAAACUUAACACAACUACAUAUUUAUACAAAUGCCUUUAUAAUCUUUGUGUAUAUGUGUGUAUAUAUACAUGUGAAUGUAUAAAUACAUACUUGUAAUCAUGAUGUACUUAACAACUGCAGAUUGUGUUUAAUCUUAGCAUAUUAAAUAAGUUUUUUCAAUGUUUUAACGUAUGUUUUAAUUUACCACUUUUUAAUUUUUUAAUCUUAAUGAUUUAAGAAAGUAUUAGUCAUUGUAGAAAAUACAAAUAAACUAAAAGAAAAAUGAAUCACCUGAAAUUCUUUUAAAAAAGAAAGCCAAUCUGGAGACACAUACAUCUGUUUUGUUUUGUUUUGUUUUGUUUUUUGAGACGGAGUCUCGCUCUGUGGCCAGCCGGGAGUGCAGUGGAGCGAUCUCAGCUAACUGCAGGCUCCCUCUCCUGGGUUCAAGUGAUUCUCUUGCUUCAGCCUCUUGAGUAGCUGGUAUUACAGGCAUGCGGCCCCACACCCAGAUAAUUUUUGUAUUUUUAGUAGAGACGGGGUUUCACCAUGUUGGCCAGGAUGGUCUCAAUCUCCUGACCUUGUGAUCCACCUGCCUCGGCCUCCCAAAGUACUGGGAUUACAGGCGUGAGCCACUGCACCCAGCCUCUGUAUUUUUUAAUUUAAUUAUAUCUUCAUGUUUGUAUGAAUCUAUAUCUGUAGCUGUAUCUACAUUUAUUUAGUUUUGGCUAUAACCCCAUUUCAGGAACUAGUUGACUAAAAAAUAAACUUCUAUUGUUUUUGAAUUAUUACAUAUUUUGUGGUCUUUUAAAAAGUACUGCAACCUCCUCUAUGAAUGAAUACACUUGUUUUUAUAAGUUUUGAAACAUAUUGUUGAAUGACAUUUCUCAAAGCCUAAGCACAGAUGAUAAUCCCUACUGCUUCUUAACCAAGAUUAUAAUGACAAUCUUAGAAUCAAAUGUUAUCAAUUUUAAUAUUUAUUAGAGAAUGUCUGACAACACUUUCUAGAGAUUCUCUUAUUUUAUCAUGUUGCCAAUUUUCCUAAAAAGUGUUAAGUGAGAUUGUUAAGGCUACAAUGGAUGCAAAUAAUGUUAAUACUAUAAUGAAUGCAAAAUUAUUAAUUUAACCAUUCUUCCAUCAUUAAACCUUGUAUAUAUUUCUAAUUUUUUAUUGUUAUGUUUAUACAUAUUGAUUUCUCUGCAGCUAAAUUAUUCAGUUACAUAAAUUUCCCAGAAAUGUGGGUAUUCAGGGAAAUUGUGGAAAUAAAUCUAGUCUUCAUACAGAUUGCAGUUUGCCUUUUAUAAGGGUUAUAUGAAGACAGUUUCAUCAGAGUAUAAGAGUAAACCGGUUUUACCUCAAGUUCAUUAUCAUUGUUGUAUUUUGAUAUUAACAUCAGUAUUUUUAAUAUAAAAGUAAUAGAAUUCCACCAUAAGAUUAGUUUAAUUGCAUUGCUUCUGUCUCAGAAUUGAAGUUUAUAUAAGUUCCUAAAUAGCUUUAAACUCAUUUAAUGUAAUUUAUUUUUGUCUACUUAUUUUUGGG
ensembl:lncRNA novel transcript